UCACAAGGCAGCCUCAAAAUUGCUCUUGAGCGCUAAACUUCAAGAACAGCAUUUCCAAAUUACUUUUACUUUGGUGCUUCCUGUAAGAAUUAUGGGAUGUCUCAAAGAGAAGUGUGCCACAGACUUAAGACUCGGUUACCUCUCCCCCAACAGCUGGCAGCACCCACACCUCACUGGGCUGCUGGAGCACAUUCAGGACAUUCAGAUGGAGGUGGCUCCUUCACUCCCAGAUGUCUCAGAUGUCACGUCUGGUUCAUUUGAAAGACCUGUCAGCUGAGAGCCGCUGCUGGCUCCCCACAAAGCAGGCAAAGCUCAAGCACCCACUUCCUGCAGGGGGAACUUGAAGAGUGAACAGGAAAUAAAGCUGCAAACUCUACUGUGAAUAAGAAGAGCAAACUUCAAAUUAUGAACCGGGUCCUGUGCUCUGUGAUGCUGUUUUUAACUCAAGUACAGAUACCCAAACAGCAUGAAGCAGUAACCUGGAUUCACUCCACCACGCUUCAGCCACAUGACUGGGUCAAAUAAGGAUCUGCUCAUCUAUUCAAAGAUUAACAGCAGAAAACGUCCUUGUUUAAGAUCAGCAAUGCAAGACCUUCAUCGCCAGUGACCUUCCAACUCAACAAAGACUGGAUUGUUUUUCCAGACACUGUGAGCUGAAGGCAUCCUUUCACUCUAAGACACAUAACGGAUGAGAAUACAAGCAUUAAUAUAAAUUCCUCACUAAAGAGAGAAGCUGACCUCGUGACUCUCUCACUAGGUCGUCUAAACUGAAUCCUGACUGCCAAAACAGUACCUGUGCACAUCUCCACCAACAUGAAGAAACCGUAAGCCUCUGCCCAGAGGCAGUACACAUUGUCUGCGCAUGGGAAAAUCUCCAGGUAGUGUUGAGAAGCGAGAUGAUUUCUUAGAGCUGUUAAUGCCCAAGGUACAAUCCCCAUAGAGAAAACAUGAUUGCAAAAGAGCCC
rnacentral:lncRNA from 1 species